UACGGGGGGGGCAAGCGUUGUUCGGAAUUACUGGGCGUAAAGGGCUCGUAGGUGGCCAACUAAGUCAGACGUGAAAUCCCUCGGCUUAACCGGGGAACUGCGUCUGAUACUGGAUGGCUUGAGUUUGGGAGAGGGAUGCGGAAUUCCAGGUGUAGCGGUGAAAUGCGCAGAUAUCAAGGAGGAACACCGGUGGUCGAAGGCGGUUCUCUGGGCAUUACCUGACGCUGAGGAGCGAAAGUGUGGGGAGCGAACAGG
rnacentral:rRNA from 1 species